rnacentral:rRNA from 1 species
GAUGAACGCCGGCGGCGUGCCUAAUACAUGCGAGUCGAGCGAACGGACGAGAAGCUUGCUUCUCUGAUGUUAGCGGCGGACGGGUGAGUAACACGUGGAUAACCUACCUAUAAGACUGGGAUAACUUCGGGAAACCGGAGCUAAUACCGGAUAAUAUUUUGAACCGCAUGGUUCAAAAGUGAAAGACGGUCUUGCUGUCACUUAUAGAUGGAUCCGCGCUGCAUUAGCUAGUUGGUAAGGUAACGGCUUACCAAGGCAACGAUGCAUAGCCGACCUGAGAGGGUGAUCGGCCACACUGGAACUGAGACACGGUCCAGACUCCUACGGGAGGCAGCAGUAGGGAAUCUUCCGCAAUGGGCGAAAGCCUGACGGAGCAACGCCGCGUGAGUGAUGAAGGUCUUCGGAUCGUAAAACUCUGUUAUUAGGGAAGAACAUAUGUGUAAGUAACUGUGCACAUCUUGACGGUACCUAAUCAGAAAGCCACGGCUAACUACGUG